rnacentral:rRNA from 1 species
UACGGAGGGGCUAGCGUUGUUCGGAAUUACUGGGCGUAAAGCGCACGUAGGCGGAUUGGAAAGUUGGGGGUGAAAUCCCGGGGCUCAACCCCGGAACUGCCUUCAAAACUCCCAGUCUGGAGGUCGAGAGAGGUGAGUGGAAUUCCGGAGUGUAGAGGUGAAAUUCGUAGAUAUUCGGAGGAACACCAGUGGCGAAGGCGGGUCUCUGGGCCGUAACUGACGCUGAGGCGCGAAAGCGUGGGAGCAAACAGGG